UACGAAGGGGGCUAGCGUUGCUCGGAAUCACUGGGCGUAAAGCGCACGUAGGCGGAUUGCUAAGUCAGGGGUGAAAUCCUGGAGCUCAACUCCAGAACUGCCUUUGAUACUGGUGAUCUUGAGUCCGGGAGAGGUGAGUGGAACUGCGAGUGUAGAGGUGAAAUGCGCAGAUAUCAGGAGGAACACCGGUGGCGAAGGCGGUUCUCUGGGCCUUACCUGACGCUGGAGGAGCGAAAGCAUGGGGAGCAA
rnacentral:rRNA from 1 species